UCCCACAGAAACAGCUGCUGAAGAGACAAUAUACUUCUGUAAAUCCCCUCUUUAAAAAGAGAGUGUAGUGUCACACAACUUGUCUGAAAGGGAAUCAAUACAGACUUUCUCACGAACCUACUGAAUAUGAAGCAGGACUCUAACAAGAGGGGAUGGUGCUAUGGAUUUUAUUCAAAUUCUGAUUCCAGCUGUUCUUUUCCUUACACAGUUGUCUGCACAGCCAUUUUUUCAUCUCCUUAUUUUUAAAAUAGUGACUUUUGACUGAAAUGUCCCAUGUGGGUACAUGCAGCAUUGAGAUUAAACAGCUCCCUGGGUUUAUGCAGAGACAGAGGAACAACUUGUUGUCUCUGCUUGGGCCUAACAAAACAGACAGAAUCUCACUGUCCCAGAGGGCACAGCUCCAGUUUGACACUGAUCACAAACAGCUUUCUGCUCCUAAUGCAUUAUCCAAAUAAAACAAAUCCCAUCCCAGCUGUGCAACAGCACAGACAGAAAUGAGGAACUUCGUUUCUACCACCAUAACCAGGUGGAUGGAGUGGAUAAUGAGAUCAGAAUGUACAGUGGGGAGGAGUGAACUGGCUGCCAGGGUCAUUUUUGUUUGUGCAGCUGAGAAAUGGGCUUUCCCAAGAAAUCAGGCAGAGCAUUUUAUUUCAAUACUUACUAGAACUGUUAAUUAUUUUCCCUUGCUGACCACUGUGUUAGAUCUGUGCUCAUUGCUGAUAAAGAGCACGCAGUUUGUGGUGGACUUAAUUCAUCUCAGCUAGUUCUCCUCCACAGAAGAGUUUUCUGCACUGAGGGAAGCUGUCUCCAUUUCCUGUCUAAGCAAAUCUGACACAUUAUGAUUUUGGCAAAAGCAAAAUCUCCUCCCAGUGCAGAAGUUUUUCUUCUGACCUCAAGAUCACUGACUUUUCUUUUUCCUACUUGGAAACAGUUUUCUUGUUUCAAGUCUGACAGGAUUUUGGAAGCUAUUUGGAGGAAUUAUUUAUUUGAUUAAGUAACUUUUUUCUUUUUUUUUUUUUUACCAUCCCAAUUUCUAGAGCUUUUUGCUAGAGAUCCCCAUUUUGGGGGGUUCAGCUCCCAGACUGAAGCAGAAGGAUAAGGCAAGCACAGCUUCCUCUAACCCUGGGAACUUCAGAAUUUUGGUCAGCUCAGGGGAAGUUUCCUCUAGGAAAUCAUGAAGUGAAUCUCUGUCUCUUAUCAGUCUCUUUGUGUAAAAGUGAAGACCUGAGGAUUUUUUUUAUCAUCUCACAAACAGAAGCUGUAUGGAAGGAAAAUAAUGUAUGGGGAGGAAAAAAAAAAUGCAUGCCUGUGGUUAAAAUAAACUAAUUGGAAGAGAAGAAUCCUAAUUGAAAUUGCAUCUGUGUACCAAAGGAAAAUUUCUAUAUGCUAUGAAACCUAUGGUUAAAAAUACCUUGCACCUGAAAAUGUAUGAGCUGGAUCCUGAGCCAGACAGCUGAAGUCAGCAAGAUUAGAAAGAAAGAAACUGGGGAGUUUGUGCUGAAUUCUGGCCAAAUUAGCCCAAAUGACCCCCUCAUAUGUCCCACAGGUUCUCACAUACUACAGGCAACAGACAUGUUCUAAGGAAACUUCAAGAAAAAAUCUGGGAUUACAUCUGCUGGGGAAAAUAAAGGUAAUGUUCAGUUCCAAGUUUUGCAUGAGUUAUUUCCCACAUUUUGAAUUAAAUGUCAUUCACCUGCUUGUGUUUUUAUUUAAAGUAUUUAUAUUUUGCUAUAGGUAUGGGGUUUUUUUUUUCUCAGCAAUUGAGUAGGAAAGGUUAUCUACCUGCCCUGUGCUAUUCCUGGAAGACCAAAUGUGCUCAAUUUAACAGAAAAUGAGACUUCAGAAGUACUUGUACUAGUACAAUACUUUUUCCAGGAGUUACAGAUGUUCUUCCCAUCAUGGCCAUCUCCAAUUUCUGCCUCUUCUUGGCCCUUACUCCUCCUGGCUCCCAGCAGAGCUUUCCUACCUUCCUUCAGACCUGAGACAAACCUCCCAGGUCGGAACUCUCCAUGGUUAUGGAUGAUUGCUUUGCAGUUUUGAAAUCUUGUGUUCUGAGUAGCUGAUUUAGGUCAGUUUGUUUGUUUGGAAACUGCUGGAGAGCAGCACGUCAAUCUGUUUAAAAAAAAUAAAAUUCCAAACCCAAGUUCACCACAGUUUUAAUUUCAGAGCAGUUUAAUUCCUGGAAACAUUUACUGCUAGUUAUUAUUUGCAAUGUAUUCUUGAUCAGUUAAAGACAGGUUACCCUGUUUUGCUCCCAAAUUGGAAAUUUUGCCUCUCUUGAAACUGUUGUAUAAUAAAUAAAAUAUUACAUGUGUCAAUAAUGGGAAAAAACACAACAUGUUUCUGCCUAAAUAUUUUCCUAGCUGAUUUUUUUUUCAUUUAGACCACCUAUUCCUACAUAUUUUUAUGGAAAAAGAAUAAACAACAAACACUUAAAAAAAUAAUAUUUCCUAUAUGAGUAAAAUCUACCAUACAUGGCAAAACUGGAAAGGCUCUAUGAUUUGAAUGGAAAACAUUGCUUGUUCAGUAUUUAGCCAUUUUUACUAUUUUAAGAAGGGCAUAUGAAAUCUGCUAUUUAUUUAUAACUACAGACAUGAUGCAGAAAACAUCAGAGCAGUACAUUUAUUAGAUGUAUUUCAAUAAAUUAUGUAAUUAUUGGUUCUCUUUAAUUCUGAAAAUUACAAUGCAUCUGCUUUCCUCUCACACUCAUUACACUUACAAAGUGGUGCAUCUGCAUCAGGCUUGAGAGUCAAGGACCUCAGCCUUGCUAAAUAUAAUAAUGAAUGACAAGUCUUGAAAAUACCAUUUUUAUUCAUUUUCUCUAAGAGUUUCAGCAUCUCAGUUCGUAACAACUGUGUAGGCCAGUCCUUCUCCAUACUGCAUUUUGCAAACUUUUCAAUUUCUCUUGUCACUGGAGGGAUGUUUCAUAUAUCCCAGGGACAAAUAAAACAUUGUCUUUUUUUGCAGUUUUCCAACAGAUGUCUAGCCUGGGGACCCUGGCUGGUGAUAGGUACAGUUAUACCUGCACAAGGUGCGGACAUCUCAGUCCUGCUGAAGGCAGGUUUUGACUUCUGCAGCUGAAGGCAAUAUCUACAUAGCAAACUGUUUUAGCAGAGAGAAGGAUUCAAUGCAGAUAAAAUUUUCAAUAUUGGUCUUGAAUGAUGAGGGGUGAGAGCAAUUAAACUAUUGAUACAAAGUUUAGGAGAACUGCACAGCAAAAUAUGAAAAAUGUCAUGGCCAACUAUAUCCAUGAGGCUCCUUAUUAAAAAUUGUUUGAAGAAGCUUUUCCAUUGCACCAGUAAGACAUAUUUUGAGAUAUUUUUCAACCAUCCAUCAGUCUGAUUUAUAAUUUCAAAUUAUUUAUGUCCUGCAUGAAAAGCAGGUUUCAAUUGCAUCCUCAGUGCUCAUGUCCUUCCUGACCACCAGGGCUUGGGAUAAAAUUUGCCCCUCACAGGUUUUCUUGCCCCAAGGCCAGUCUUUGAGACUUGUGCAUCUUGUACUCAGGUUGUGAUAUGAGUCAUUCCCCCCUAUUGCCAGGGAAACACUGAGUUUGUGGAUGCAAUAAAAGUCUGGUCUGUAACAAGUAGGUAUCUAGGAGAACUGGUGUGCGAAAAAUACAGGCUGAAUGACUUGAACCCUGCUGCACAAGCUUCCCCAGAUGCUUACCGGGCCAGACCUCAGCCUGCACUGCCUCCUGCUUUCACAAAAGAUAACCACAUAAACCUUGCUCUAAAAAGGGAAUUUUAGAGGUCCUUGUUGCUUAAUCUUAUGCAAAAAACUACUUUUCUUUAUGCUUAAUACAACAUCACUGGCACAUAACCUGUAUCACAAAGACUACACAGGAUCACAGCUGCUCCUUUCAGCAUGUGCCAGCUCCAAGUGAAAGAUUAGCAGAUUAUGUACACAUGUUUUAGUUAAAUUGGUGCUGUUAGGUGGCUUUGAAAUGUGUUUGAUGCUGGAUUUGCUCUGGCUCAGGAUUUUGUCAGCUGCCUGAGGGUGAUGGUCUGGUGGUACUCUGAGGUUCCUGGUCCAAGACAUGAAGAAAAUUGCAGAUAUUUCAAAGAGAUAGAAAAAAUAGUUGGUACACACAGGACAAGGACAAUGGUUUGACUUUUGUAAUGCAUGUAUUAAUAAAAUGGUCAUUUCCCUCUGCAGGGUCAAAAGAGCAGUUUAAAGAAAUAUGUGGUUUACUUCUCUGGAGAGACUGGAUAUUCAUCAACCUGUUCAAACAUAGCCCUGGACUCAAACCCAGUCAUUCUGGUCUAUGGGAGCUAUGCUUGUGUCUCUAGCUUGGGGCAAAUAUGAGGUGGUUUGGCUUAGGUUGCUCCUCUUUUGAUCACUUCUCUGUGACAUGUGCCAUCCUUUGCAAAAUCCCAGAGGCUAAUCCAGCCCAUUUUCUCACCACACCUCAGCAAUUCCUGGCCCCUUUCCUCCUUCCAUUUCCACUUAACAUGGCUACACCACCUGCAACAGGGGUGAGCCGCUCGCAUCUGUUCUGAGUCAUGAUGUGUGGGCUGGAGUUUGGUAUCAUUCCAACAGAUGUGAUCCCUAAAAAUCAGAGCCAUUGGAGCACGUGUGGCAUUUCAGAGUCCAUGAAUGUGGGAGGAAAAUUCCUUCCAUCUUGCACCAAGGACACUGCUCUUCUGCUAGCACUGAGGCUGGUGUUCAUGGGCAUGUGAUGAGAAGAGAGAGACCAGAGAAGCCCUUUCAUCCCUACCUGGCUUGUGCCUUGGUUUCACCCUGAAGCACCUGAUUUAGCCUUUAGAAAGGGUUUAGGUUUUAUAAUCAUGCUGAAAUGAUUCUUUCAUGGGAGAAACAUUUGAGUAUUCUAAUGAGGUGUGAUGGACUCUUGCUUGUACUGCCCCAUUGCUGGGAUUUUUUUUGUUGCUUAACUCUUGUGUAAAGAAUGAAAACUACAUCAGUCAGUCACUGAUGUUGCAUACAUUUUCCUUUAACAGUCUGUGUUUGCUGCCAUAGUUUGUUGGACCACAUGGCUUCACUGAGGAAUUCCAUGGCUUUUCCUUGGGUGGCUUCUCUUGGGGGCUUCUGGUCUUUUCCCCACUGAUGAAGCAGGACUCCUUGUUUCACUGCUCCAAAGAAAGACAGUUUUUUCCUUAACAGAAUUAAUGCUGAUUUAUUUUUAGCAGGCUGGGAAGGCAUUAAGCACUAAGCAGGCCCCUGAAGCAUUUUUGCAGGGACUUACAGGACAGUGAUUAAUUUUCUGCAUCUGCUGAGGCUGUCAGCAGCAGGGUCACCUGUUGUUUUGCAUUGACUUGUCCUUUCAUGACACUGCUAAUCUAAUUAGGUGUGAUAAAAGAUUAAUAUAAUUUGCCAUGUGGAUUUACAAUGAAUAUCACUCUUUCUGGAUUUAAAAAAAACCAAACAAGCAUUUUCUUGACCCUUUUCAGAAGAUUUUACCUUUCUGUUUUCAUUAACUGCGCUCUUUCUGGGACAAUUAAGCACUUUUUUUUUUAAUUUCUCUCUCAGUCAUAGUAAGACCUUUCUUAAUCAUUUUCAGUUAUGAAAGAAGUCUUAUAUGUCCAUAAACUCAUUUAUUUCCUUACACAGCUAUCACAGUAAUAGUGCUACUUGGACAGAGAAAAGUGGCUGAGAGACCACAACACAAAGUUUGUUACUUGAAAUCUUCUGCAGAAGUAUUCUGAUUUAUAUGAUAUUAUAAUCUCUGUGAGUUUUAAUUAAAUCUACUGAGCAGUAUUGUUCUGUCAAAAAGGUGCCUUUUUACUGUGUAUAUUCUCCUUUGAGAACAGCUGUGCAGGGCUGUAGUGCCUGUCACCAGACAAUUGUUUUAAUUAUACUCAGUUUUAAUUAUAUUGGCUUUACAACUAUAUGGCUUUUGUGUUUCUGUAGUAAUAGGUGUGUGAAUCACACUCUGCAUCUGGCAGACAGACAGAUCUUUGUUUCCUUUAUCUUGAAGGAGCAGUAAAAUGUGUACACUGGCAUUGAAACACAAUUCCUCCUUCCAUAUUCCUUUGAUUCCUGACAAAUAAGUGAAGCAUUUCUCAGUACUCUGAGAAAUAAUUUUAAACAAGCAAAUAAAAGUGUCUGUACACAUUUAUUUAGCUAUACUGUGGGAGGAGAGAGAGACAGGUGAGGUUCUUGCCACAAGAUACUAUCCCAAGGCUCCCAAAUUAAAGGUUUAUCUCUGCAGGUUUUGUAUUUGUCACUAAAUCAAGUGCUAUAUGAGUUGCUAUGGAUCCAGGACUGCCAAAAUUACUACAAGGGUGUUUCAGAAUAAUUUGGUAGGAAAAUAAAUUUAUAUUGGUUUCUUCCCUUGGUGAUUCAUGAUUCCUGCCUUCUAAGGAAAAAGAGGAAGUGCAGAAGAGACACUAUUGUGCCUGUCAAAGGAAGAUAUUUAAAAAUUAUCAGUGAUUAUUUCCUUUUUCCCCAGGCCCUUCCAGAGGGACACAGCCUGUAAUAUCUCUAAACACCUGCUUGCUGCAGCCGAAACACAACAGGGCACCUUUAGAAAUUUAAACCAGCUCCAGAUGAGUCCCUGUGGCCUUGGUGACAGUGGAGUUGUAAGGUGCUGCUGUGCACAAAACACACCUAGAAGGGUUUGCAUGACAGAACAUCAGAACAUUGAUUUAGAAGCUGCAGGGGACAUCUUCCCUUCAGUGAAAGGCAAGCUGAAAAUGUGGCUUAUUCUCAUUUUGAGAGAUACUCCCACUUCUCUUGCUCCUCUUUUCUUCAAUCCAUUUAGGGCCAGAGAAACUGAAGCUCAUCUUCAGGGGCUGGGGACAAGCUCUCCUGUGCUUUGCACUUGUGUCACAGCAGCUCUCCACACUUUUCCUCCUCUGUAUUCCAUGGCACAUUUCCAUCCUCCUCCACAAAACUUAUCAGUGGAAAAGGACAUUUUGAGGUUUGUUUUGUUUUUAGUUAAGGGGGAUAGCUCCUUCUUUGCAUAUGCACGCCAGCUCCACUCCUGUUUCACCAGCAAGGCAAUCAUUGAACUUUUGCUGCACUGAGUGCAUUGCCUGCAGUUGGUGUGGAAUUCCUAGCUCUGAGAACAUUCUUGAACAACUUCAACAAAGACCCUGAAAGUGCUGCCCAAAACUGUAUAAGACUUUUUAAAGCACAAUAAGAUUAUAACUUCAGCCUCACUUGCUGCCUUGUCAGCUCUUUGCCAUGCCAGGGCUGGAGGCAGAGGCAGAAGGAGAAGGUUUGCUGGCAGAGAGCAAGGAGGAUGCAAUCACAGAAAGCAGGUGUUUUUGGCAAGUGAUCACAGUUUACUCACACAAAACACACUUGCAUUGCAGUUUCACUGGAGUAAAAGCUUCUCCUGUUUCUGGCUCAGCUGGCAUAAAAGUCUACUCUCCAUUCUUGUAGUUUCUUGCAAUAUUAGGACUGGGCAAGACACCACUAUCAGAUUCAUGUGAGCUCUGAUGGGGUUGAGACUUAGCAGUACCAAACCACAGUGACAUAUGGGACAGUACCAAAAUUUCCUCUUUUUCCCAUGUUUUGGCCUUGUAUUUUUCCAUCCAGCUCAGCUACAUCUUUACACCUGCUUCUCUUUCCCAGAGCUGGAUCGAUAUUAUGAACAAUAUCAUUUUAUCUUCUAAAUUGCAUCCACUUUCAUAGACAGGAAUUUUACAAAGAAAUAUCUAAACAUAUAGCCUUAUUUUGCAGAAAGAAAGUAUCUUUGGCACUUUUAUUGUGGACCUUGUAGGCAGAAAAUGACUGCAGAGGUGACCCUGUCUCUCAGACUGGAGUUAGGUUACUCCUGGGCCCUUCAAUUUCCAAAAGGGAAGUCAUCUGCUUAGUUUAAGUAAAUGGCUCUCCACUGAUGGGAAAACAAAUUCUGUGGUUCAGAAGUAACUUCAUUGGUUUUGCUUUUGGAAAUACUUUGGAAGUACAGCACAUAUCUUGUGCCAUGGCACAGGGAUAAAAACUGGAGGUACCCUGCUUCUGCUCUCCCCUGGUACAGGGAGGGUGUGUGGAACCAGCAAAUUCAAAAGAUCAUUGAAAAAUUGAGACCCCAGCCAAGAAUCCUGGAUCCUAGAGCAAAACACAGGCCUGUGACUCAUUGGGAGUCUAAAAAUGAGGGUAGAAUGUGUGGCUGCCCUAUCUUUGGAAGUGUCUAAGGCCAAGCAGGGCUUGCGGCAACCUGGGAUAGUGGAAGGUGUCCCUGCCCACGGCAGGGGUGGGACUGGAUGAGUUUUAAGGUCCCUUCCAAACCUUAACGAAUCCAUGAUUCCAUGAUUGUAUGUGCCUUCUCCUGCAUGCUCCCAAUCGUUGUUACCACCAGUCUACCCCUGUGUGUUAGUGAAGUUUUUCUCCAUUAAAACACAAAGAAGAGUUAAAUGCAUUUGUCUCUGAGUAAAGGACAAAAUAUUGAUAAAUGUUUUAUUUAUUGCAAUUGAUCUUUUACAACAUAACAACCUAAAAAGUCUUCUGAGAUAUCCUCCACACUCUAGGUGUUCUCGGAUUCAGAAACCACCAUAAAUAGGUGACUGAAAAUCCUUUAAUAUUUAAAAAAAUUAAGACCAAAAAAAAAGAGUGAGACCGCUAGCAUGUUUCCAAAAUAAAAAUUCCUUUCACAUGUGGAGACCAUGGUGAAGGUGACAAGAACUCUCAUUGAAAAAUGCAACUGUGUUCAUUCUUGACUCAAAGGCAACUAGAAAAACCUUUUUUAUAUUGUUGUAUCAUAGAAAAAUCAAAUGAAAUCCACAAAUGUGAUAAUAAUAGUUGAAUGUUGAUUGCAUGUGGGAAUACUUGAAUAACAUAAUAUUUGAAAUGAGCUGAAUUUUGUCUACCAGUGCUCCCAGGGCUUCCAGCAGAGCUGCUGGCCCUUCACCUCAUCCUCCUCCUCCACCUUGGGGGACCCCAAGACACCCCCACACACUUGGAACACACCAACCCCCUGUUCCCAAGCCCUCUCACAACCCCUCCCAUCCCCAAGACCUUCUUCCACUCUGGAUCACAACGAAAGAACUCGAAUGCCUCCCACCUUUUGGCACAUCACUCCCCCAGACAAGUCCCAGUCCCAUGACAUCCUCCUUGAAAAUUACCUGCCACCAACUUUUCCAACAUUUUUUCAAAAAAAAUGCAUCUACUACCCAAAAAAAUUGACAUAUUCAGAG